ensembl:lncRNA
UGGUAUUCUGUCUGGCUGUGUGAUUUGUGCUCUUGUUGCAGGGUGAAGGCUGCAGAGGAGAGCUUUGCAGAGAGGAUUGGCUGGAACAGGUGUGCGCUUUUCCCAGUGGUGGGAAUGAAGGAGGUUUAGGGCUGGAGGAGGGAGGACCCCAGUGGUGUGAGUGGGGUGCCCCUGUGGAGCAAGGAGAGCUGUAUGUUGUUAUCUGUGAGGGUGGAAGGUCAUGCCCUGAAGGAGGGGAGUUAAGGGAGAGUGGCCCUUUCCAGCUGGAGCUGGGGGUCCCGGUGCGGCUGAUGUCCUGUGGGGAAGAUGCAGAUCCCGGGAGCUGCGACCAGGAGGAGGAGCGGAGCCAGCAGCUGAAUUUCUGCAUGGCAGCCUUUCUCGAAUGCGGUAACUCAGGAGAGGGCUUCUCGGUGAAAUCCUUUGUGUUGAAUUGCAGUAAGUUGAGUAUGUGAACCUUCCUCCCAAACUGAGACCGAACGCCAGCAAAAAUGACAAAUAUGUUGUACUCUUUCCCUUUAUAACAAAAGAUGUGGUACUUCACUGGGGUUGCGCCUUUGUGUUCAAUGUUUGUAUGCAGUAUAU